UUACCUGCUGGCUGCAGGUGCUCUGACUAGGUUGCACUACUGUGCUCUGAGAAGCAGUGCAAUGAUAUUGUCAAAGCAUCUGGGACCAGCCUUGUAG
ensembl:miRNA Mir301b microRNA 301b